ensembl:lncRNA
UCCUGUGUGGGUGUGUGGGUGGGGAGAGUGGAGUCCCACAGAAACAGGGAAGAUCAAUUGUUGGCAGGACCAUGGAAGGGACCGAGGAUAUUUAUAUAAAUCAAGGGUUGUCCCCCAAGAAGAGGGUCAAGAAGAAAGAUCCCCCAGCAGGUGCCGAUAAAUUUAAAGAAGACAAUGAACCUGAUUAUGAAAACAUCUCGGUGAUCACAAAGAACAAAAAUGAUCCUCUGAAGCAACAAUCAGUGUCCAUCCAAUGGGCCCCUCCUGCUUCAGCUCCAAGCAAUUCUUCAAGACAUUCCUCAGUGCAAAAGUCUCUCCUGGGAAUUUACCUCUUCCUGGGCCUGGCUUUCCUGCUGUGCAUUGUCUCCGUGUCUCUGUUAGUGGUGAAAAAUUCUGAAUUUUCCAUGCACCUGAGGAGUAUGAAAAUUGAGCUGUGGAAUGUCUCUAGCAUGCUCCAGAAGGAGCAGGAUAAUGCUCAGCAACUGAAGACUCAGAUCACCGAAAUAAAGAACACCACAAAAGUCUAUAACAAAGUCUUUCAACAAAUUUUAAGAGACCUGUCGGACAGUAGUUCUAAGUUGAAUUAUUUGAAAAAUCAAUUACAAAAACUGAAAGAGGCUCAAAAAUCAGGACCAAGUUCCAAACAUAAUUCAACUGGCUAAAAAAGGAGACCAACCUAUCGUCUGGAAGACUGCACCUUUGGGAGAAGCUUUGGGAGGGCCUCUGUGUCCUUCCUAUUAUGAGCUGGGGUGCAGAGAGACCUUUGUCAGUUUCCACAAUGGGUUGGCAUGGAAUGAAUGGCUUGAGAUCUGCAUUAUUUGGAAUUUCAAGAUAGAUGAAACCACUUUCCCAAAGUAGUAUUAAAUGGAACAAAAAGAUACGGCUGAAACCCAUCACUUGUCUGGAUUCCCAACUCAACUUGAAACUUCACUUUCACCAAGGGAAUAACUAUUCUUCACAACACUGUACUGAGAAGGACUAAGGGCCAUUCCCCCUCAAUAUAAUAGUCAUAAAUUGGCAAAAUGUUUGGUUUCAUCUUGUCAGUGUUAACUCAAUUUUGACUUCCAUACUGAUGUCCAAACCCUGGAGCUUGGAAAUUGUCUUGAGGGAGUGCUGGUCAAUGUUGUAAACUCUCCCUCUAUCCCCAUACUUUCCUCAAAGUUUGUAGCACCAAAAAUUCAGACUGAAAACUUCCUACUCAGGUUGCAUCUUGGAAGAAAUUUGGGUUUUCCAUGUAUCUAGGCAGCCUUUGCUUCUCCAGAAACUUGGUUGCCUCAAAUCACAGAUGCCACUGAGACAAGGGGACUAUUUCCUGCUUCCAUGUCAUAGGCAGUGACUCCCAUCCAGAAUCUCAUGAUGACUAAAUCUAUGGUGUUCUCUUUUGUAUAAUAUAUGAUGGUUCUCUGUGGGCAGGUUUCUUGGGGAGAUUUUAUGGAGAUCGUCUCAGUUUCAGUUCAGAGUAAUAAUCACCUCAAAUGCAGCCAGCUGAUAAAAUCCAAACGUUUAUUUUCUUCUUCCAAGUCUUUCUUUCCUUGGGCCCAGAAAGCUUUCUUAGAGGCCUCAGCUUUCCUUGCUUCCGAGAGCUCUCGUUGCUAGUCUUUUGCCUCUAGCUCAACUCUGACUCUUGGCAAUCUUCUGAACUGACACUCCUCCACUCUGAAUCUUUUCAACUGAACUCUGCUGACUUAGCUCAGCUCAUUUUAUGCUCGGUGUAAAAGGUUGCCUCCUCCGAGAGAGAGUGGGAUUGUGGGUUUCUGACUUGUGAAUCUCAUACUGAAUACUGACUUGUGAAUCUCUCAAAAGUGUGAACUCCAAUGAGUACUUAAAUACAUUAGUGAGCUAGAGGAUUUGCUAAGUACCAUGCUAAAUUAGGCAACUGACUUAUCACUUUGUAAGGAUUAUAACAUCUCCCCUUUUCUUUUGAUUUAGAACAUAGGUGGUCAUGACCUCCCUGACUUCUCAAGGAGGUGAGAACCCCCAAAAAGAAGGUGAUCAUGUCUUCCCUGACUGCUCAAAAAAGAAGUGAAAACACCAUAAAAAGAAGGUGGUCACACCCUCCUUGACAUCUCAGGAAGGGAGACAAAAACACCAAAGGAAAUAGGAAAUCAAAUCAGAUUAGCGUGUUUCUGAAGGGGCUCAUUUGAAACAGAUGGGGAAACUGAGUCAGACAGCAGUUAAAUGAUUUGCCCAGAGUACUAUCUUAUACAGGAUGUGAACUCACCUGAACUUCUGGACUCCAGUCCUCUGGACACCAGAUUAGGUGUAGGGAUAGGAUUUUACCCCUAAGAAAAGGACCCACAUGUGCAAAAAUGUUUGCAACAGCUCUUUCUGUUGUAGCAAAGAAUCGGAAAAGGAGUGGAUGUCUAUCAAUUGGGGAAUGGUUGAACAAGUUGUGGUAUGUGAAGGUAAUGGGAUAUUAUUGUUCUAUAAAAAAUGAUGAACAAGCUGAUUAUAGAAAGACCUGGAAAUAUUUACAUGAACUGAUGCUGAGUGAAACAAGCAGAACCAGAAAUACAUUGUACACAAUAACAGCAAGAAUGUAUGAUGAUCAACUAUGAAAGGCUUGGUUCUUUUUAAUGUUAAGUGAUUCAAAGCAAUCCCAAUAGACUUUGGACAGGAAAUGCCAUCUGUAUCCAGAAAAAAGAACUAAGAAGACUGAAUGUAAAACAAUACAUGCUAUGUUCAUUUCUUUUUUCUGUUUUUUUUUUUUUUUUUUUAUUUCUCCCAUGGUUUUUCCCCUUUGCUUUGAUUUUUCUCUCCUAACACAAUCCAUAAAGCAAUGUGUAUUAAAAAUAAACAAACUUUUUACAAUAAAAAAGGGGAUUUUGCCCCUGAGGGCUGCUUUAGUUAUAUUCCAGAAAUUUUAGUACAUUAUUUUUAUCAUCUUUAUUAUGCUUGUUAAUUAUUUCUGUGAUUUCUUCUCUGACCUACUCAUUAUUUAGAACUUCAUUGUUAAGUCUCCAUUUGGAUUUGUGUCUUUUAUUUGUGGUUCUUGAACCAAUGAUAUAUUGUGUCAUGGUCUAUAAAAAUAUAUUUACCAUUUCUUCAAGCUUACACUUGUUUGCAAUGCUUCUGUGGUCUAGUAUAUGGUCAGUUUUUAUAAAAGUUCCAUGUAGUGCUGAGAAUAUAUAGAUUCUUUUGCAGUCCCAUUUAGAGGAAAACAUAAGUUCUAGUUUCUCUAAUUUGUUCAUUUCUAAAUUGUCUAUUUUUCUUUUGUUUUUGCUUUCUGUUAGACUUAUUUAAAACUGAGUAAGGAUAAAAAGUGUUCUAUCACUUACUGUCUUUUUCUAUCUCCUUUACUAUUUCCUUUAUGAAUUUGGAUACUAAGGCAUUUGGAGCAUAUACAUUUAUUACUAAUAUUGACUUGUUGUCUAUGAUUUCUUUUAGUAGUUUACUUGUUUAUCUUUUUUAUUUUUUGAGUAUUUGUUUUUGCUUUUGUUAGAUUGUACUUCCUGUCU